CGACUUAGCUCAAUUGGCAGAGCAAUUGAUUUGUAAUCAAUAGGUUGUAGGUUCGAUUCCUAUAGUCGGC
rnacentral:tRNA from 2 species